AUGAAGUAUGGAGAUGAUUUAUUAGUCGAAGAAGUUGUCAAGUCUGUUCCCAAAGAUCCUCUAGUACCUGAGAAGCAGUCAUCUGAUGUUACACUAAACAUGUCUGGUCCAAGCACAAUAGAGAAGAGAAAUAGAAAGAAAAGGAAAGCAAAAGUAAUAUCUCCUCAGGAAAAGAUUUCAAAGAUGAUUGUUGAACCUCAUGUUCAGGAGUUUUAUAAGAAAUACCUUGCAAACAAAUUCUUCAAGAAUGGCAAUAAUCCAACUGUUAUUGAUAUCAAUGGCUUUCCUGUGGAGUAUGAUAAUUUCUAUAAUUCAUUAAAGGCAAUAGGAAAUGUUGAUAAUGAAGUAUUCAAUGCCUAUGUCCAAAUUUUCAAUUAUGAGAAUGAAAAUCCAGACCCAAACAGCAAGGACCCUUCAAAAUAUUGCUUUACUAGCUAUUUCACGCAAAAGGUGCUUGUAGACCCCAAAAUCUUCAAUUCUCGGUCUUGCCUAAGAGAAUUCAAGAAAAUUACCUCUGGAAAGAACUUGCAUAAACGUGAUCUGCUAUACUUCCCCAGAGUUGACUCAUUCCACUCGUCUUUGUUCUGCAUCAACAAUUUGUUUGAAACUAUCAGUUUCUUUGAUUCAAGAUCUUCUAUUCCUUAA
rnacentral:rRNA from 1 species